GAUGAAGAACGCAGCGAAAUGCGAUAAGUAAUGUGAAUUGCAGAAUUCAGUGAAUCAUCGAAUCUUUGAACGCACAUUGCGCCCGCCAGUAUUCUGGCGGGCAUGCCUGUUCGAGCGUCAUUACAACCCUCAGGCCCCCGGGCCUGGCGUUGGGGAUCGGCGGAAGCCCCCUGCGGGCACAACGCCGUCCCCCAAAUACAGUGGCGGUCCCGCCGCAGCUUCCAUUGCGUAGUAGCUAACACCUCGCAACUGGAGAGCGGCGCGGCCACGCCGUAAAACACCCAACUUCUGAAUGUUGACCUCGAAUCGGGUAGGAAUACCCGCUGAACUUAAGCAUAUCAAUAAGCGGAGGA
rnacentral:misc_RNA from 1 species